CCCGAUGCCAUGCACUUUUCCGCUUCCCAUUUGUAUCUGCAUAAAUUUUCUUAGUGAGAUUCUCUCGGACUUUUCCUUUCUGCAGCAUCAAUUUCUUUGCCUUCAAUGCCACAGCCGGAAUUUUUCUAGGUGCUUCAUCCGUUUUGGAACCUGCCACAGCAGCUCUGAAAGCGGCCAAGAGUUUUGGAUCAAACUGGUCUUUUCUGAUGUCUUCCAUUGAUUUGUUACGAACGGCCUCUCUUAUUUCUUUCCUUAGUUUCUCAACCAGAACCAAUGACUCUUUAUCAUCUUCCGGUGUCUUCUUAAUCUUCUUUACCCUCAAACCAACAGCAUUCUCUCCUUCUGAAGACUUAUCCGUAGUAUUUGGAAGCGUGGGUUUCUUUCUUCUAUCCAGAGCUUUGUAGUUUUUCAGUUGCAUAUCGUAUUGUAUGUUCUUUUUUAGUCUGUGAGGUGUUUCUUUCUUUUUAGCUACUGGUUGUGAUUCCGGUGUUUUAGGAAUAUAUUUUUCUGCUUUUUGGUGGCUUUGGCCUUUCGAUUAUUAUUCUUCCUUUGGCCCGCUUUUUUAGUUUAUGUGUUGGUUGUCUAGUUUCUUAUUCUUAAUUUGAUUAUCUUAUGAUACUAAUAUUGAAAUAAAUAUAAUUUGUAAAUGAAAUAAUAAAAAUUAGUAAAAAUAAUAAAAUGAUGAAAAGUCUUGCUAUUUUUAGGUGUGAAUAAAUUAAAUAUUUAAAAUAUAUUUAUAUUAUUUUAUUUAUUUCUUGAAUUUUAGUAAACAAAUCACCAAAAUACCCUUGUAUUGGUUUAAUCAUAUGUUUGAUAUUAAUUUUAACUAUAGUACAUUUAAUUAUUGAGUUUAAUAUAUUUACAUUAGAAUUAUUUCAAAAUUAACGUUCCUUUUUGCGGUUUGGGCGGAAAAUUUUUUUUUUUGGUUUUAGCGAGAAAGCACAUUUUUCGGUUAUGGCGGAAAAACACAAUUUUUCGGUUCUGGCGAGAAAACGAGAUUUUUUUGUUUUGGCGAGAAAACACGUUUUUUGCGGUUUUGGCGGAAAAUGACGUUUUUGGCGGGAAAACGCGUUUUUUUGCGGUUUUGAAAGGAAACACGUUUUUGCGAUUUUCGCGGGAAAACAGAAUUUUUCGGUUUUGGCGAGAAAACGAGAUCUUUCGUUAUUGGUGGGAAAACGCGUUUUGCGGUUUUGGCGAAAAAAUAUAUUUUUGCGGUUUUGGCGGGGAAACGCGUUUUUGCCGUUUUAGCAGAAAAACACAUUUUUGCGGUUUUGGCGGGAAAACGCGUUUUUUGCGGUUUUGGCGGGAAAACGCGUUUUUGCUGUUUUAGCAGAAAAACACAUUUUUGCAGUUUUGGCAGGAAAACACGUUUUUGCGGUUUUGGCAGGGAAACACGUUUUUGCGGUUUUAGCGGAAAAACACGUUUUUGCGGUUUUGGCGGGGAAACACGUUUUUGCGGUUUUGGCGGGAAAAUACGUUUUUGGCAGGAAAACGCGUUUUUGCGGUUUUGGCGGGGAAACACGUUUUUGGCGGAAAAACGCGUUUUUGCAGUUUUGGUCGGAAAAACGAGAUUUUUCGGUUUUGGUGGGAAAACGAGAUUUUUCGGUUUUGGUGGAAAAAUACGUUUUUUGCAGUUUUGACGGGAAAACGUGUUUUUGCAAUUUUGGCGGGAAAUUACGUUUUUGGGGUUUUGGCGUGAAAAAAUAGUUUUUAGGUUUUCGCGGAAAAACGUGUUUUUGUAGUUUUGUCAGUUUUCGUAUGUGACAAAAAUGAUAUUAUGUUUAGGUUUGUAAUCUGUGAAUUACAUUAGGGGCAUAAUAGACAUUAUACCAUUUUGAAUGAACCAUCUCCAUUCAAAUGAUCCAAAUUGGUUCAGCUGAAUGGACUUUAAAAUUAAGCCUAAAUUUCCAAAAGUCAUCCAGAUGAUCCAUCUGAAUGAGUUGCACUUUUAGUGUCUAAACAAACAAAACUCUCAUCUUCAUCCAAAUGACUCAUUCAAAUGGAGAAACAAACAGGCCCAUAAUCUCCAAAACUCGUGGAGAAGACAAAAGAUGGAUAACUUAAAUUUAUAUACUGUUUUUAAGACUGAACUAGCUGUUUCCUUCGUCAUCUUAUUUACGCAUCUGCUGCUUGUCACUUGCACUUGUCCUUCUCCUUGUGGUGAGCUCCGGUGGAAGAAGAAGCGGCGGUUUCAACAUAUUGCUCGGCGAGUUUCUUAAUCUUGUCGCCUUCCUUGAUCAAGAAGUUAGCACUCUUGGCUUUGCUAUGAUACUUCAUCACUUUCUCUCUGGUUUUCGUCACUGCCCAUCUGUAUUGAUCCACGUUUAUCACUCCGCUCUUACACAGUGGUCUGAUAUGUUCUUUGAUGUAUGCUUCAACCUAUAAAAGAACAAAAGGAGAGAACUGUCAGGAAAUGAGCGAUUUUGACAUAAGAAAUUUAAUAGCUUUUAUUACCUUCUUGAUGAUGGAGUCACUGAACCCAUCAGCUUUGCUUUUCUCUUCUUUAGACGGCUUCUCGCUUGGAUUACAGUUUGGGAUCCUUGUGGGAAGUUUCUUCUCUUGAAUGGAAGUCUUCUCGAAGUUUGAAGCCAUGAACUCUCUGUGCGUGUUGCUCUCGCACUCUGAAUCAGGUGCUUUCGCUUGAAGACCGUUAUCAGCAGAUCCUUCAGUGAGAGGUUUCUCAACUAGUUUCUCUGUACCAGGUCCGUACAGUUCUUCACAUUCAGCUAAAGAAAGGAUCUCACCUCCCUCUCCUUCUCCCUCUGCCUCAGCCUCAGCUUCAGGUACAGGCUCCAUAGGAACAAAGCUCUUCCCAUCUUCUUCACCAUUUGUUGUCCCUUCCUGGUUUAUUGUUGUUUCUUCAUUCCCCAAGACCUCAGAUUGAUUUAGAACUUUCUCAGGUUGAACAGUGGAUAAAACUACCUUCACCUUAGUCAAACCUUCAUCCUGAUGUGUUUCUGAAGCUUUUGUAGCCUUGGUAGCACCGAUGUAGUCUUCGUCAUCCAACUCAUACUCAAAAUCCCCAAAGAUGUCUGUAUCAGGAACUGAACCAAUGUCCAGUACAUUAUCUGGGCCUACUACCUCCCUAGCUUUGUCCAGAGAACUGUCUUCUUUAUCUGGAGGAACUUCUGAUGAACGGUCCGGGCUGUUUGGUGGUGAAUCAACGAGACCUGCUGCUCUGAGCGCUUGAAGGACGGCUAGAUCAUCUGAAUCUUUAUCAUCGACAUGUUCUAUUCCGUUAUUAGACAGUGGUGGUGAAGUAGUUGGUUCUACAGCCUUAUUGUCCAUCGCUUUGCUCUCUGAAUGGUGCAGUAUUUCUUGGGAGCAUAGAUUCAGAUACACAACCUUGCUACUUGAUUUGUCAGCGAUCACUUUCUCGAUAUUUAUAGCAUCUGCAACGGCUAGUUCUGUUGCUGCACUUCUUCGAACUUCCAGAAGAUUUUCUUUCUUCAAUAAAUGUUCUGUCAGCCGGUAUAAUUGUGCCUGCAGCAAGAGUGAUUGGCUUAUGAACAAAAACAAGUACAUAGAGUGAUUGGCUAGCUAUUUCACCGGUUUUUUUUUUUUCAAAUCAACAACAAAUAACCGUGUACACAUGGCACUCAUUAAGCUAUAGACAAGCAUGAAAUCUUGUAUUGUAGACCUCCUCUACAAGUGAAACAAGUGCUAAUAGCGCAAGCCUAUUCUGCUAUCAAACCCAGAGCUAUAAGAAUAUCAAAAGCCAGUGACUUCCCCUUCAAUAUCUAGAACCAGGUAACUUAUUAUGAGCCUAGCACUAAACAAUACCACGAAGAAUUAGAAACUGAAGUAAAAAGCUAUUCACGUACCUGCCUAACUGCAACAGGAACUUUAUUAUGGCGACUGGUCGCAAGGUUUGGCCUCAUAUCAGCUGGAAGUUGAGCCUGACAGCAAUCGUAGAAACAAACAAGCAACAAUUUCAAAACAACAGAUAUGUAAAAGCUGACAAAGCAAGGGCCGAGAAUCACACACCAACAAUGGAUAAUUCCCUUUGAGCUCAGGAGAGCCUUCUUUGUCUUCGCUUGAGUUGCUGCCUGCUAAAGCUUUCUUUCUUGCAAGAACCUGCAAUGCCCAUUUCCUUUUGUCUUUCUUCAGCUCAUCUGGAUUCUCAAAAAUAGGCGGUUUGCUUCCCGAGUUUAUUUUUGAUCCAGCAGCAUUUGAGUUGUUCCCUUUGACAUCGCUGCUCUUUGGUAAGGUCUUGUCCAUUCCUGUUUCUUUCGAUCCCACAAGAGGUUUGAUAUCAUGAUUUCUCGGGAACACAGAGGUAUCUGCCAAAUAUAAUCUGGAGAGAAUAGGAUUUGAAGCCUGUGGGGGUUCAGAUGAAACAUUUUUCUCGGCGUCAGCUGGAUUUUUCUUCAAGAGGCUAAGAACAGACUUCAGCGUCUCAAUUUUCUCAGGCUUUCCAGCUUUCAUGCACCGAUGCUUCCAGAACUCGACGUCACAGUCCCGAUGCCAUGCACUUUUCCGCUUCCCAUUUGAAUCUGCAUAAAUUUUCUUAGUGAGAUUCUCUCGGACUUUUCCUUUCUGCAGCAUCAAUUUCUUUGCCUUCAAUGCCAGAGCCGGAAUUUUUCUAGGUGCUUCAUCCGUUUUGGAACCUGCCACAGCAGCUCUGAAGGCGGCCAAGAGUUUUGGAUCAAACUGGUCUUUUCUGAUGUCUUCCAUUGAUUUGUUACGAACGGCCUCUCUUAUUUCUUUCCUUAGUUUCUCAACCAGAACCAAUGACUCUUUAUCAUCUUCCGGUGUCUUCUUAAUCUUCUUUACCCUCAAACCAACAGCAUUCUCUCCUUCUGAAGACUUAUCCGUAGUAUUUGGAAGCGUGGGUUUCUUUUUACUCCCAAAUCCUUUAACAAUGCUGAAUAUAUCAACAGUUGUAUUGUUUGAAGGCGAUCUGCUCUCGUGCUGAAUGGUAGCUUUUUCUUCCAUUUCCUCUAGCUUUGGUUUAACGAGACGUUCUGCAAUCUCUGCCUUGAUUUUCGAAUUGUCAUCAU
rnacentral:lncRNA from 1 species